UGCCAGCCGCCGCGGUAAUACGGAGGGAGCGAGCGUUAAUCGGAAUUACUGGGCGUAAAGCGCGCGUAGGCGGCUUUGUAAGUCGGAUGUGAAAGCCCUGGGCUCAACCUGGGAAUGGCAUUCGAUACUGCAUGGCUAGAGUAUGGUAGAGGGAAGUGGAAUUUCCGGUGUAGCGGUGAAAUGCGUAGAUAUCGGAAGGAACACCGGUGGCGAAGGCGGCUCUCUGGACCGACACUGACACUGAGGUACGAAAGCGUGGGGAGCGAACAGGAUUAGAUA
rnacentral:rRNA from 1 species